UUAGGAAUAUUGCGCAAUGGGCGAAAGCCUGACGCAGCGACGCCGCGUGUGUGAAGAAGGCCUUCGGGUUGUAAAGCACUGUCGCCCGGGAAGAAUCGUGCGGGGGGGAAAGUUCCCUGCAUUUGACGGUACCGGGAGAGGAAGCACCGGCUAACUCCGUGCCAGCAGCCGCGGUAAUACGGAGGGUGCAAGCGUUGUUCGGAUUUAUUGGGCGUAAAGGGCGUGUAGGCGGUAUUGUAAGUCUGAUGUGAAAUCCUUGGGCUCAACCUGAGAACUGCAUCAGAUACUGCUUUACUAGAGUGUCGGAGAGGGUACUGGAAUUCCUGGUGUAGAGGUGAAAUUCGUAGAUAUCAGGAAGAACACCGGUGGCGAAGGCGGGUACCUGGACGAUUACUGACGCUGAGACGCGAAAGCGUGGGGAGCAAACAGG
rnacentral:rRNA from 1 species